AUAAAAAUAGAACAAAAAAAAAAGUAAUUUUGUCUAUUAUAUUAAUGAAUGAUAGCUUCUCUUUCUCAUUCCAUAAAACCCGAGCUGGACGCUUUGCAUAUCAUCACAUCAGUUUCACAUCAGUUUCAGUAACAGUAUCAGUAUCGGAUUUAUCUCUUCCCUAUCUCUCAUACCAAUUUCACUUUCAGGAUUUUUAAUAUGGCAGAUACAAAACAAGGAUUGAGGAAGCCAGUGUUUACUAAGGUUGAUCAGCUUCGCCCUGGGACCAGCGGGCAUACCUUAAUUGCGAAGGUGGUUGAUUCGAAGAUGGUGAUGCAGCGUGGUCGUUCUGAUGGUCCUCAACCCCGUCAAAUGCGAAUUGCUGAAUGUUUGGUUGGUGAUGAGACUGGAAUGAUCAUAUUCACUGCAAGAAAUGAUCAGGGUAUAUUGUUAUUACUUAAACUCUAUACAAGUUUUCCUUACUGCAUCAUGGUGUUGCAUUGUCAUCAUCAUAUAUUUCGAUUUUUAUUGAAUUUUAUUUUUGGGGCUGGAGGAACUACAUUCUUUUAUUAUUCAGUAUGGGGUGUACACGUUGCACGUGUCAUGUGUUUUAUUUUGUCCGUUUUGUGCACAUGUUAAUUUAUGUUUUGGUGUCUGUUACUUCUUGUAUUUGUAUGCAUCAUGUGUUUAUUUGUUAAUUUUGUCGGCGUCUGUAAUGAUCAUAUUCACUGGAAUGUUUGGUUGGUGAUGAGACUGGAAUGAUCAUAUUCACUGCAAGAAAUGAUCAGGGUAUAUUGUUAUUACUUAAA